GACGAACGCUGGCGGCGUGCUUAACACAUGCAAGUCGAACGGAAAGGCCCGGCUUUUGUGGGGUUCUCGAGUGGCGAACGGGUGAGUAACACGUGAGUAACCUGCCCUGUACUUGGUGAUAACUGGAGGAAACUGGGGCUAAUACCGGAGAGGAGCGCCUGCUGCAUGGGGGGGGUUGGAAAGUUUCGGCGGUGGGGGAUGGACGCGCGGCUUAUCAGCUUGUGGGUGGGGUAGUGGCUUACCAAGGCUUUGACGGGUAGCCGGCCUGAGAGGGUGACCGGCCACAUUGGGACUGAGAUACGGCCCAGACUCCUACGGGAGGCAGCAGUGGGGAAUAUUGCACAAUGGGCGGACGCCUGAUGCAGCAACGCCGCGUGCGGGAUGCCGGCCUUCGGGUUGUAAACCGCUUUCGCCUGUGACGAAGCGUGAGUGACGGUAAUGGGUAAAGAAGCACCGGCUAACUACGUG
rnacentral:rRNA from 1 species